CAAUAAACUAUAAUGAGUACAAAACUCAGUAAGCAAACUAGUUUUUCUUAUAGAAAAUACAUACAUACUUAUACAUAAUGCAAUGGAUGAUAUGCCAUGAUCUUUUGGAAAUACUGUAAAAUAAAUUCAAAAAAAUCUCUUUCUGUCACUUUCAAACUUUCUCAUUUUCUUUCGAUGAAAUAUGUAUCCUGCAAUGUGGCACUUUGUGCUGUGCGUGGCACUUUGCACCAUGCGUGGCACUUUGCGGCGCUCUGGCCCUCAAGAGGUGGCCCCCGCAUAGUCUCAAGAGGUGGCCCCCACACAACUUCAAGAGGUGGCCCCCAAUGCAAAAUCUCAUAAAACAGAAAUUCCGUUUGCUAAAAUCCACUUUCUCAUUCAUAGAAAACUCAAUGCAUUUUCGUGCUCAUGCCAAUGAACCAUCACACAUACAUAUGCCCAUGUACAUAAUCACGCCCAUUACAUAACAACACAUCACAUAAACACAUGAGCAGAGACAUAUAAAUCCAUAUUCGUACAUAUCAAAAUAGGACAUCCGCCUUGGCCGUACAGCAGAGCUCUCACCAAGAAACACCUCUUUUCUGACAAAUGCAACGUAAUAUGAUCACGUCCUGCUUAAUAACACAAAGCAUAGAGGCUGCUCUAAUACUUUUCUAACUUAGCCAAAGUUGUUGAAGAUAUAAGUACUUUUAAGUGCUCAGUAAUCUUUAUUAAAUUAGCAUGAUUGGACAUAAUUAAAAAAUGAAAAUUGAAUCAUUAUGAUGAUUGAAUUAGGUAGUUUGAUUGGUGUUAUUUUGUCUAAUUAUCAAGGAGAACAUUCAAUUAUAUACAAUAUGUCCUUCCUAUUUUCUCUUUUAAUUAAAUCAUAAAAAGACUUGCAAUAUUGAUUAUGUAUCUGUUAUGUUGGUUAUUGAAGUGAAUUAUAGUUGUUUUCGUGAUUGUCAAAUAUUGUCUUUGUAACUUAUUUAUUUUUUAUUUAUGAAAUCAAUGGGGAUUUUGCUCUUAUUGAUGGAUGUUGCUGGGUACUAAGAACUGAUGGUCGUAUUAAUUAAUCAGUAUAAGUUAGUUGAAAGUUCAAUGUUCAUGCACUUUUGAGCUACAUAAGGCAAGGAAAAUUGAGUGACUUUAUGUGAUGUAAUGUGACACUAUUCAAUUAAGCAACUCUACUUUUUAGUGAUGGACACAAAUGAAACUAGUGGACUUGCAUUAGCUAGAUGAUAAUUAAAAGGCCAAGAUUAUAUCUUUAACACCCCAGUCCGAAAUCCAAGGGCAAAUAUGUCCACAACUCACAUAUGAUUUAAAUAACUCUUUACAAACAAUAAAAUCCGAGCUUCAAAUACAAAAGCCAGCGGAAUAACUUAAAAAUUUAGCCAAACCAUCUACCAUCUUUAACUUGUCACUCAUCACGAAUCAAUCCUGGAUCUACUAUCCUCAAUUUAAAUCCAUCUUCUCACUCAUCGCGAAUCAAUCCUGACUUCUGGAAACUGAAUCACAAUAAACUAUAACGAGUACAAAACCCAGUAAGCAAACUAGUUUUUUUUAUACCAAAAUACAUCCAUACUUAUACAUAAUGCAAUGGAUGAUAUGCCAUGAUCUUUUGGAAAUAUUGUAAAAUAAAUUCAUAAAAAUCUAUUUCUGUCGCUUUCAAACUUUCUCAUUUUCUUUCGAUGAAAUACAUAUCCUGCAAUGUGGCACU
rnacentral:lncRNA from 1 species